rnacentral:rRNA from 1 species
UACAGAGGGUGCGAGCGUUAAUCGGAAUUACUGGGCGUAAAGGGCGCGUAGGUGGCCUGUCAAGUCAAUUGUGAAAUCUCCGGGCUUAACUCGGAACGGUCAAUUGAUACUGUCAGGCUAGAGUGCAGAAGGGGCAAUCGGAAUUCUUGGUGUAGCGGUGAAAUGCGUAGAUAUCAAGAGGAACACCAAUGGCGAAGGCAGCACUCUGGGACGUGACUGACGGCUGAGACGCGAAAGCGUGGGGAGCAAACAGG